CUUCUCUCCCCAUCCCGCCCCCACUUCCCCCCACGUGCCCAUGCCCGGCCUCCUUUCCUCUCCUCUCCUCUUCUUCCGGGCUCGAGCAGAGAUUUAAACCCUAACACUGACUUUAAUCCGUGUGGUAGGAGAGAACCAGCUCCCACAAGAUAUCCUCUGAUCUGAAUUUGUGGGCUGUGCCCACAAUCCACCCCAUCCACAACCACAGGAGUGUGCCAAUGGAGAAUCGUAUGUGCCUUCUGCCAGAGACAAGGCAAAUGGCACCAUCUGGAUUGGAAGCUGUUUCACAAGUUCCUGAGGAAAUCUAGUAUUUACUUCACUAUCAGAAAUCCUACGGUCCAGCUUGAGGUGGACCAAAACUCUCUUUUCUGGACAUAUGCACUCUACGAGGCCUAACAGGCAGCUAUGGAAGCUAAGCCCUGAGAAUCCAACAAUUAUCUAUGCUCUCCAAAAGGAAUUUUAUUAGGCUUGGGGUUAAGAGGAAGAAGAUAGAAGCAAGCAGGGAAACGUGAGAAGAGUUAUUUCGGUAAUGUCUGUCUUCUCUCUCACGGGACGAACCACUGAUCAGUCGAUUGGUCAAUCUCUUCAGGACUGUGGGCUCCUUUCAGCUUCUCUCAGCCUUCUUCUCUCGAGUGGCUGGCAGUUUCCUGUUAUUCCUGCCACGGGCCCUCUUCACAGAGGGAGGGAGCAACUCAGCCUGGCUCUCUUCGAUUUCCCCUAACAGCAAACAAUGGUGUCUGUCCUGGCCUCUUUAAAAACCG
ensembl:lncRNA